GAUGAAGAACGUAGCGAAGUGCGAUACUUGGUGUGAAUUGCAGAAUCCCGUGAACCAUCGAGUCUUUGAACGCAAGUUGCGCCUCAAGCCAUUAGGUUGAGGGCACGUCUGCCUGGGCGUCACAUAUCGUUGCCUGAUGCCAGUUUCCUCGUGAUGGGUGACUGUGCAGGGCGAAUGAUGGCUUCCCGUGAGCAUUGUUGCCUCAUGGUUGGUUGAAAAUUGAGUCCUUGGUAGGGAGCGCCGUGAUAGAUGGUGGUUGAGUGACGAACGAGACCCAAUCAUGUGAGACCCCUACCGAAUUUGGCCUUCAUGACCCACAUGCGUCUUUGGAACGCUCAUGACGAGACCUCAGGUCAGGCGGGGCUACCCGCUGAGUUUAAGCAUAUCAAUAAGCGGAGGA
rnacentral:misc_RNA from 1 species